GCUUGCGACGAGAAUGGACGCACAUCUCAGAUCAGCCUGAGCUUCCUAGAUCCAGGGAAGAACUAUUUAGCAACCAUCUACGGUGACUCAAAAGAUGUCCACUACGAAACCAACCCACAGGCCUAUACCAUUAAUAAGGUCAACGUGACCAACAAAUCCAGCCUCACGCAGUAUUGCGCGCCGGGUGGCGGAUAUGCGGUGA
rnacentral:misc_RNA from 1 species